AACGAACGUUGGCGGCAGGCUUAACACAUGCAAGUCGAACGCCCCGCAAGGGGAGUGGCAGACGGGUGAGUAACGCGUGGGAACGUACCCUUCGGUUCGGAACAACCCUGGGAAACUAGGGCUAAUACCGGAUACGUGCGAGAGCAGAAAGGUUUACUGCCGAAGGAUCGGCCCGCGUCUGAUUAGCUAGUUGGUGAGGUAACGGCUCACCAAGGCGACGAUCAGUAGCUGGUCUGAGAGGAUGAUCAGCCACAUUGGGACUGAGACACGGCCCAAACUCCUACGGGAGGCAGCAGUGGGGAAUAUUGGACAAUGGGCGCAAGCCUGAUCCAGCCAUGCCGCGUGAGUGAUGACGGCCUUAGGGUUGUAAAGCUCUUUUACCUGGGAAGAUAAUGACGGUACCAGGAGAAUAAGCCCCGGCUAACUUCGUGCCAGCCGCCGCCGUAACAC
rnacentral:rRNA from 1 species